AAUUUAAAAGUGUUUUUGAUUUUAUAAUUUGGUCUCGGUGUUUUUUUUAAGUAUCUAUCUGAAUUUUAAAAUUUCUAAUUAGACUAUUAAUUCUUCGGGAGUUAUAAUAUUUUAAUAAGAAAAUUAGCAAGUAACAAAUAUCUUAUAUAAAGAUUAUAGAUCUUUUGCAAAAAUAUUACAGACAAACAUAGCUAAAUAAAGAAUAGAAUUAACAUAACAUUUUUGGAGUCCAUACGCUCACAGUCUAAAAAUUUAAAUUUUGAAAAAAUUUACAAAAAAUAAUUAUAAUUUCUAUUCGUUUUAGGAAAAUGUUUUUGAUUCGGCGACUGCAUCUUAUCUUACCGUAUAAAUGAAAUCUCUUUUUGAUCGAGAUCGAGUGCGGUACCUCCUCUUCUUUCCUUUCUAUUGAUUCUCGGUGAAUUAAAAUUCCCGGCCCUUUCGUCCCACCCAAAUCUCCUCCUCGUCCUCCUCUCACCUCGCUCUCAAUGUCGCACCAGGGGGAGGAGAUCUCCUCCUCCUCGACUCCUCCUCCUCCCUCGUCCUCUUCUCCUCCGAGCGAUCCCACCGCCGCCUCCGUUGGGAGCCGAUCGUGCCCUAACCCUACCGAGACGCCGCUCGCGUGGCCCUCCGAUGGCUCCCUCACGCGCGAGUGGAUCGCCGGGCUCACCGCCGCCCUCGACUGGUCGUCGCGCCACCUCCGCCCCCCCGAGCUCCCCUCCGUGCUCCCCCUCCCCCUCCUCCAGCGCCUCGUCCUCGCCGCCUCCAACAUCCUCCACAAGGAGCCCAAUUGCCUCAGGAUCGACAUGGACGGCGACGACGACGCGGAGAUGCGCCGGAGCGGCGCCGCGGUGGUCGUCGUCGGCGACGUGCACGGCCAGUUCCACGACGUGAUCUUCCUGCUGGAGCACGCGGGCUUCCCGUCCGAGAACCGGAUCUUCGUGUUCAACGGCGAUUACGUGGAUCGGGGCGCGUGGGGGCUUGAGACCUUCCUCCUCCUCCUUGCUUGGAAGGUCUGUCCGGCCUCUUCUUCUUCUCUCCUGGGUUAAAGCAAAGAUUGGAGAUUUAAAUUUUUUUUUUCUGUUUUCCUGAAUAUAUAUUGUCGCAUGUUUGUGCUAAAAAAAUUCGCCUUGCCGAUUCUCUGGUGGGAUUCUGAGUACUAGGGAUGUUUGUUUCUAAAGCUUUGAAAGAAGGGAUCUUUAGAAAUUUAGAUGCUCCUUGCAAGAAUAUCUAUACUGCUGUAUGUGUUGUCUUCAUAGUGAGGUGCUUCACUUGGUAAGCAUAAACUACAGAAUCAUCUUUUAUGUUAGUGAGGAAAAGUUGUGCGCAUAUUCUCCUCCACAGACCAACACCUAUUGGAUUGAUUUUAGACAUAAGCGUGCAGUAAGUUUUCCAACAGGGGACGGUGAAAGAGUUUUUUUUUUUUUUUUCCCCCUCUUUUUUUUUCGUGCUCAUAGCAUAUAGAUAAUAGAUAUCAGGGUAUUGAAGUUUACUUGACCCGAACUCCUGUGUUUACGUGAAGAUACCUAAUUGCUUUCCAAAUGCACAAACAACCAAGUGGAACUUAGAAUGGAGCAACCUAAUGCAUUGCAAGAGAUGGCAUUUUCUUAUGCACCUUUUGAAACAGAAAUAACUGAUUUAUCUUCCAGAAGAGGUCACGGUUUUGUAGAAACAUUAAUAUUUUAGUUAAUUGAAACAAAUUCCCGAAAAAUGUAGCAAUAGCAUCAUCUUGUUCCAGUGGUUCUUUUUCUAGCAUAUGCAUCUGUGGACAUUUGAUGGAGACACAUGUUAUUGUUGGUUCUUGUUCCAGUGUUGCCCUGACUGAUUUUCAACUGUUCGCAUGUUUCCUUUUUGACUUGUAGGUCUUUUUGCCGCACCGAGUAUUCCUUCUUCGUGGUAAUCACGAAUCCAAGUACUGCACAUCCGUAUAUGGCUUUGAGAAAGAGGUAAUGGUUAAAUACGGAGAUCAAGGCCCACAAGUUUAUCGAAAGUGUUUAAGAUGUUUUGAAGGUCUCCCCUUGGCAUCCAUUAUAGCAGGUCGUGUUUACACUGCUCAUGGAGGGCUCUUUCGAAGUGUGUCACCUACUCCUUCAUCAAAGAGAUCAAAAGGCAAGAAAGGUCGCAAGGUGAUCACGAAUGUUGAUACAAGUAUUCUUAAACUCGGUUCUUUAGAGGAGUUAUUAAAGGCAAGGCGGACAGUUCUUGACCCACCAUGGGAGGGUUCAAACUUGAUUCCUGGUGAUGUGCUCUGGUCGGACCCUUCACCAAAGCCCGGUCUGUCGCUAAAUGAAGAAAGAGGGAUUGGAUUGUUAUGGGGUCCUGAUUGCACUGAGGAGUUUCUAAAGAAAUACAAUCUUAAGGUUUGUUUUUGUCACAUUUAUUAUCCUUUAUCUUGUUGAGCAAAUUUUUGAUUAUGUGAUUGUGAUUUAAAAAGAAAAAAAGGAAAUCCCUCGUAAUUGCAUAGAGUGAAAAAGAUGCACAUUUAUGAGGUUGUAUUUAGUCAGUAGUCUCACUUAUGUUUCAAGGUUAUUCAGCUUUGGUUGCCCUUCUGAUGCCGGCAAAUUAUUUCUUUUAGCAUUAAAUCUGCUUAAAUUGAUGCUUGUUAGUAUAUGUUACGACUUCUCCAACGGUAUUAAGAAAUUAAACUAUUGGCAAGCCGGUCAUGAUCACAUAAGGAUGACAUUAAAUCUAGCAGAGAUGUACAAUAAUACAGUUAAAAGAUAGGUUUUGUCGAAUGUCUUAUAAAAAACCUAAACAAAAAUACUGCUCGCACUAGAUAAAGCUUGAAAUAGUUCAGUGUUUUGGCCCAUGUCUGUUAAUUUGGAUUCCAAUCCAAUUUUUACGUCCAGCAGGUAGAAUUUUCCCAGUUUAGUGACUCUGUUAAAUUUGAUCGAGGAAAUUUAUCCACUAGUAAUGGGAUUUAUUUGACAAGCUAUCAUAAGGUUUGUAAUCAAAGAAAUUUCUUUUAUAAAUGAGCGAAUUUCCAAUGAUUGUUGCAAUCAAUUACAUUGCAAGCUCCUUGGAGGUUUUUCUAUUCUGUGCCUUUUCUAGUUUGAUUUUAUCAUGUCAAAUCUUUUGUGCAAAUUUGCUGAAAUUUUUUGCUUUUGAAAACAUAGCUGAUUAUCAGGUCACAUGAAGGCCCUGAUGCAAGGGAUAAACGGCAUGAUCUAGCUGGAAUGGACAAUGGCUAUACAAUAGAUCAUCAGGUGGAAUCAGGGAAGCUGAUUACCCUCUUCAGUGCUCCAGAUUAUCCCCAAUUUCAGGUUCUACUCUCAUUUUACGUUUGAUUUUCUUGAAAUCUCGGGCAUGUAGCGGCGGUAAAACUGGAAAAGAUAAAUAGAUUUACACCUUUUCUUUUAGCUACUUGUUUGAAUACUACAUUCUCUUAGCGGUAGGAUUUGUGUGGACCUCAUUUCUUUCUCGGGAAGAUCCAGGAAUAAGUUUUGUGGGAUUUAGCAUACCAAAGGUUAAUAGUUCAAUACCAUAUAAUCUGCCUAAAGUAUAAUAUGUCAUUGUUCAUGUUUCUGGCAGGCAACAGAAGAGCGAUACAACAACCGUGGUGCCUAUAUUGUUUUGCAUUUUCCUGAUUUUACUACUCCUGAAUUCCAUAGUUUUGAAGCUGUAAAACCUAGGCCUAAGGUAUGUCAUAUGUCCUAUAUUUGGACCUUUUAUGUCACAUAAUUUAUCACUAAUAUAUGUUUUCUUCUUCAAAACAUAAUAAUCGCUUAUAUCACGGAAAUGGGGAUGUGGUGUAGGUGGGAGCCUACUACAACUUUGAGGAAGUGAUUGACUCGGAUGAAGAGUUGGAUCUUCAAUCCAUGGAUAAUGGCUCGUCACUCGACGCUGUUGCUUCUACCACAGUAGAUUGAUUAUUUAAAUUAUGUGUUUCUUUGUGUAUCUUAGAAUUUGCUGUUGUAGAUUUAUACAGGCCAAGUCUGUCAUCUUCAAGUGUAGAGAAAGGAUCAAUAUGCAAGUUAUGACCAUUUUUUGCCUGCUCUCUUAGCAAUCUACUGUUCGGGCAUUUGUCUUCUUGUUUUUGUUUUUGUCGCUGUAAUUUUGGAUCCUUCAAUAGAUCAUCAAUACAGCAUCUUUUCAGCUCCAGGUUAUGGAGGAGGUUCAACUAAUAAUAUCCAUUCUCUUUAUAAUUUGUAACGUAAUGCUGUACCUGUUAGUUGCCGCGUUUGUGGAGUGACGCUGGAUCUUGGGACCUAGUGGUUUCCAUGCGUGGAGCUUUCCUAUAGAAAAAUGUCAUUCUUAUCAGAGUUGUCGACGAUUAAAUGUCUAUUGUAAGUUUUAAAAAAAUUUCUGUGAAAAGUGUAGCUCGGAUAAAUUACAACACUGGCCACUGAAAUUAUACUGAGUUGCACCUGGUACACUGAAUUCAAAAUUUUCGUUUCAAACAAAUCUAAAUCUGUCACUUUGUGUUUGAUUAUAUCAGGUCCUAAAAAGGGAGUGCAUCUAGUUUGCUGGAGCAGUGCUCCACAAUCGAAGCGUCACUAAAUUAUCUGGUACAAAAAAAAAAUUGCCCACCGGAUCUCAAUUUUGCACUAUUGUCGUCCACGUCGCCGCAACUGCUGCCGACUUCGAGCGUUUUGUGAACACUCACUCGAUAACUUCGAAAACAAUGCAUAGGGCCAAAAAAAAAAACAGAUAAUAAAUUAUAAUAAUAAAAAUAAAAAUGAAUUAAUUGAGAGACUAAAAUAGGAGACCACCACGACCGCGUACAAGGUCAUCGUUCCUUGUGAUCGCUCCCAAUUAAUUGGGUUUGUUUCCCAUAGGCCAUAGCCAUAGCACGGGAAUGGCGUCGUCUCUCUUCUUCUCCUCCUCCUCCUCCUCGUCUCUCCCUUCCGCCCGAUCCGACCUCCGCGAUCCCUCAGGCGGGGAUCGCCGGGCGCGGGUGUCGCUCCCUCUCCCUCUCCCGCGGCGGGGGCGGGGGCGGGGGCGGGGAUGGAGGUCGGCUGCGGCGGGCGGGGGGGCUGGGAGGAGGUACAAGGGGACGGCGAUGAGGGAGGAGGCGCUGACGGAGAUGAUCGAGCGGAAGGUGGCGGAGGCGAUGGAGGCGUGCGCCGGGGAGGAGGGCCAGGCCUCCGACGGCUGCCGGGUCGCCUGGGACGAGGUCGAGGAGGUCAGCCAGGCCAAGGCCGACCUCCGCCGCCGCCGCGCCGAGACCCAUGCCGACCCCCUCGAGCCCUUCUGCCGCCACAACCCCGACUCCGACGAGUGCCGCGUCUACGACGACUGAGAACAAACGGAGCGGAUCAUCAUCCCAUCGCAAAUCUUCUUCUUCUUCUUCUUCUUCUUCUUCUUCUUUAAAAAAUAAAAAAUAAAAAACACAGAGUGAAGUGUAGUUUCCUCUGGUGUUCUGCUGUACUUUGUGCGUGUUUCUGUAACGUCGUAAUAAGAUAGAUGCUAGUGAAUAUGAAGAAUAUAUAGAUACAGACGGGGUGUUUCGAUUGCGAUCAGCAGCGUACGCGUCUGUGCUUGGCUUCGCAGCUAAAGCAUAUUAAUGGGUUGUUUGGUAUUUUCAAGCAAGCAAGCAAGCUGUGGCACGCCCAGCUAUCUGUUAAUGUAUGUAUUUCUAGAGUGCCUCUUGUUUCCUACUUGUAAGACAAAACCGGAACAUCCUCCCUCCGCCUGUGCGAUCGACCCUGUUACGGCCUCCAGCUUAAGCACGCCCCCUCUAAGGCCUAAGCACAGCUCGAGACGUUGGUUAUUAUUAGCACGCUAUCUCACCAGUACCGUGCUGUUAAUUCCUGAUUGCCUCUGUAUGAAUGAAUAGCUCUUGCCUUCUAGUCAAGAAGCGAACCGGUUAGGAACAUUCUCAUCCUUGCGCGCGGUUCAGCAAUUUAACAAUUCUGAUGAAAAUUGGAAAGUUUUGUUAGCGUCUAACAAGCUUUUCGGUGGCUGGAUUACUCAGUCCUGAAGAGUUUCAAAGAACUUUUAUAUAAUUAACAGUUAACUCCGGUAAGAAUCUUGAGAAGGGUUAACAGAUACUGCAAAUACAGAUUUUAUCGGCACCGCCACAAGUUCAAGACCGCAGAAUAUCUUAAUCUUUUAAAUAGAUGUCGUAACCUAGCAAAAGGGAAUAAUUUAGAAGAUGGUGAUGAGCUUUUGAAGAGAUCAAACAAGUAAGUUGCCUGCUUAAUAUCCGAGUUGGAUGGAGCAGCAUAAAGUGGUUGUCUGAUUAAAUAAUAAUUUGUCCGUAGAGAAGUUUAGAAGAAGCUGAGAGCUGACCGCAGCGAAAAGUGUCUCUUCUGCACAACAAACUCGGGAAGUAAGCUUGAGGAAAUUAAGACCAUUGAAUUUCAUUACCUUUUUUUUUUUUAAAAAAAAAAAAGAAAAAAAGCUGCCAUGCAGUUGCUGUUUUCGGUUCCCAUUAUUACAACAUGCAUGAUCUGUAAAAUAUUGCUAAAAUUAAGGUUAUGACAACAACUUAAUUUAAUCUAGGAAACCACUACAAAUAAGCAGAAUUAAUCUAUGAGAAGUAUACAAUUCUUUCAAAGAAAAUUGAAUCUUUCUUAUAGUGUAUUAACGAAUCACUAAACCAUCAUACUUGACCUAAGCAAAACAAGAAAGUAAAAAAUAGAACAAAUUACAGUGCCGUGGCUGAGAGUGACGAUGCGAUGAUGUCUCUUAUGUUCUUCCUGAAUCUUCCGAUGAACCCUGUUUUUGCAAACAACCGUUGUACUCUAAAAGCUUAAACUAUUAGAGAACGGUAUUUAAAUAUUUUUAUAUUUAACAGACAAUGCCUUUAUUACUGAGAUCAGUGCACAUGAAAUCAAUCAGGAGCCUGAUGAUGUUCCGGCAGCAACAACUUCGAAGAAGCCCUCAAGGCCUUCGCUGGCAAUGAAGCAGAUUGAUAAAGUACAACCUAUUCCGGGGACCCUGCGUAACAGCGGUAAGAGGAAGAUGCGUUGGUGUAGAUUUAGGUUCCUUCAUUUACCAUAUUGUUAUUUGCAUGGUUUUGGGCUGGCAAUUACAUCUCAGUUUCUACUUAAAUUCAUGCAGAGUAUCAAAGUUGGUCAUGCUUGUCCGAGAGUCUAUAGAGGGUGGGGUGUUUUAGAAUUUGGAAUUUGUAAAUGGAAAAGAUGAUUAUAUUAGGUUCUCUUUGUUUGGAAUGUCGGUGGAUUUUUUUACAUUAUGCCAUUUGUAUUUGCAAUUGGUAUGCGGACUUUGUAAAUAGUCUUACAGUAAGUUAAUUGAUAUGUUGGUGAAAAUCCAUGACCCGAGCAAUUGUUCACUUCGUCUGCACAUCGAUUCUUUUCUUCUUGAUCGACUUUUCUGAGUAAUUUGAGAUGUGGUACAACUUUUGAUCUUCUACUAGCUCUGCCUGGCUCAUACUGUAGUUAAGCCAAGUAUGCAUGCAGGCUACAGCUCAUAAACUCAUACCUCGUGGGUCAAUGACUUGAUUAGCAGUUUUAUACAACCUAGUUCCUUGCCGUGGUUUAUGAUCAAAUUUUCAACUCCGACCUGUUGCCGAGUAUCUGGCAAAUUCAAAGGCGUUUGCUUUUUCUAUGUUACUUGCUUUGUUUAUUUCUUAAGCACCUGUUUGGUUCGGAGUUAAGGGAUAGAAUAACCUCUUAAUCCCAAAGUAGUUUUCAAACACCGAAUUUGGAGGGUGGGAUUAGCUAACCCCCAUCCCACGAUUCCCACCCCACUAUUCCAACCAAACAAUACACUAUUUUACCCACUGUCCUUCUUAUCCCAUCUACUCCAACCAAACACUAUUUUAUCUAUAACUGGACUAAACCCAAUUCUCAACCAAACAUAAAAUUACUCAAACCCCAUCUUAACUCUGAACUUAACUCUAUCCCUGAAAUAACAAGUUUUUACUUAACCUCGAACCAAACGGUGGCUAAAAAAACAAACUUAGCCAGAAAUAUGAAUUAAUUAUGAUUCGAAUUUAGGACCUCGGAUACCGACCAUCAAGCCUCUUUUCUUUUUCUUUUUUUUUUUUUUUC
rnacentral:lncRNA from 1 species